GACGAACGCUGGCGGCGUGCUUAACACAUGCAAGUCGAACGGAAAGGCCCCUUUGGGGGUACUCGAGUGGCGAACGGGUGAGUAACACGUGAGUAACCUGCCCUUGACUUCGGGAUAACUUCAGGAAACUGGGGCUAAUACCGGAUAGGAAUCCUUGCUGCAUGGUGGGGGUUGGAAAGCUUCGGCGGUUUUGGAUAGACUCGCGGCUUAUCAGCUUGUUGGUGGGGUAGUGGCUUACCAAGGCUUUGACGGGUAGCCGGCCUGAGAGGGCGACCGGCCACAUUGGGACUGAGAUACGGCCCAGACUCCUACGGGAGGCAGCAGUGGGGAAUAUUGCACAAUGGGCGGAAGCCUGAUGCAGCAACGCCGCGUGCGGGAUGACGGCCUUCGGGUUGUAAACCGCUUUCAGCAGGGGCGAAGCUUGUGGUGACGGUACCUGCAGAAGAAGCACCGGCUAACUACGUG
rnacentral:rRNA from 1 species